AUGUGGUUUAAUUCGAAGCAACGCGAAGAACCUUACCAGGGCUUGACAUGCCGCUGACCGGUGCAGAGGUGCAUCUUUAUCCUUCGGGGUACAGCGGACACAGGUGGUGCAUGGUUGUCGUCAGCUCGUGUCGUGAGAUGUUGGGUUAAGUCCCGCAACGAGCGCAACCCUUGUCUUUAGUUGCCAUCAUUAAGUUGGGCACUCUAAAGAGACUGCCGAUGACAAAUCGGAGGAAGGUGGGGAUGACGUCAAAUCAUCAUGCCCUUUAUGUCCUGGGCUACACACGUGCUACAAUGGUCGGUACAACGAGAAGCAAGUCAGCGAUGGCAAGCAAAUCUCUAAAAGCCGAUCCCAGUUCGGAUUGCAGGCUGCAACUCGCCUGCAUGAAGUCGGAGUUGCUAGUAAUCGCGGAUCAGAAUGCCGCGGUGAAUGCGUUCCCGGGUCUU
rnacentral:rRNA from 2 species